AACGAACGCUGGCGGCAGGCCUAACACAUGCAAGUCGAACGCUCGUAGCAAUACGAGAGUGGCAGACGGGUGAGUAACACGUGGGAACCUUCCCUAUGGUUCGGAAUAGCCCAGGGAAACUUGGGGUAAUACCGGAUAAGCCCUUACGGGGAAAGAUUCAUCGCCAUUGGAUGGGCCCGCGUCGGAUUAGCUAGUUGGUGGGGUAACGGCUCACCAAGGCGACGAUCCGUAGCUGGUCUGAGAGGAUGAUCAGCCACACUGGGACUGAGACACGGCCCAGACUCCUACGGGAGGCAGCAGUGGGGAAUAUUGGACAAUGGGCGCAAGCCUGAUCCAGCCAUGCCGCGUGAGUGACGAAGGCCUUAGAGUUGUAAAGCUCUUUUGGCGGGGAAGAUAAUGACGGUACCCGCAGAAUAAGCUCCGGCUAACUUCGUGCCAGCCGCCGCAGUAA
rnacentral:rRNA from 1 species